rnacentral:miRNA from 1 species
CAGCAGACACAUUCCAGCCAGUCAGCAGCAGACCCUCCCUCCCAGACCCUCUCACCUCCUGGACAGCUCACUAAGAAUGCAGCUUCACAAUGAAUGUAAAAUGGAUGCUGUCCAGGAGGUGGGAGGGUCUGGGAGGGAGGGUCUGCUGCUGAUUGGCUGGAAUGUGUCUGCUG